UUUUAAAACUUUGCGGAAAAAUUUAUCCUUACAAUCCAUAUGGAAAACUUGUUGUUAUCUAUUCCUAAGCAAUAUAUCAUAACUCUUAAGUAACAACUCAAAAUUCUGAUCACCGAACCAUGCGAUCGAAAUCCAUCUUCGCGAUCAGAAUCAGCAUAUACUUCCUUUAAGUGUCUUCACUUUUUCUUUGAUUCUUAAAACAUCAACAUGUGACCUCGUCACAUUAUGCAAUAAGAAUCUCAGAAUAGAAACUUAAUAGAGUUAGACAAUGGACUUUACCUGAAGUAGAGUCAAACCUAUUGACUUUACCAUCCUUAAGAUGUUUCAGGUAAAUUUAGCAGCUUCGCAACCAAUGUCUUUCCUUUGGCAACAGAAUCUUAUGGACUCUUUGGAAACGGUACAUGGGACUAUCACAGACUUAACCUUUCUCUUUACCAUUUGGUCAACCGAGUUGACUAUGGCCGAUCCCUUUCCAUUGGGAAGAGAAAGUUUUUCCUGGACCUCCAAUGUCAAUGUCCAAAUAGGUUUGGAAAGUAGAUCUUCCAAUCCAAUUUACUUUACAAAUGCUCCAAAUCACUGCUGAUUUAGUAUCAUCUAGCAAAUAGGUAAGAUCAUUAAGGUUGUUGUCGCGACCUGUCAUCAGGGNCUAGAUUGCCUUGAUAAGACUUUAUCAAAUCAUACACCUGGAGUCUAAACCUUUCCUUAGAUAGCUCACAUGUGAGUCUAAACCUUUGCCAUUCUCAUUAGUUAGUGUGCCGGUUAACCACACACGCUCCACUAACGACAUGAGAAUGCAAACUUCACACUUGCUAUCCACUUAAAUCUACUUAGUGAAAGAGUUUCCUCACUAUCAUUUUCAUGAAUCUGAGAGAAACCUUAUGACACUUAGAUUUUGAUGGUGUAUGUGUUCCUAUCCAUGUAAAUUUGAAAUAACCAUAAUCACACGACAAGGUUAGUGACAAAUCCAAAUUCAUAUGGACAGAACUUGUGCAGUCUUAAUUUCUUGCCACCUGGUAGCACAAGGGCCUGCCAUUGCUUCCAAGUUGUUAUGCAACCAGUUGAGAACUCUCAGAACUCCAAUGCAAAACCAACUUUAACUGGAAUGGGCACAGAAUAUGUCAACACGAUAGGUUACAAACCUCAAGUCGUGGUCUAGUGAUUAACAAAACUCUUGAUUAGUUCUUGAAUCUAUCUUAAGAUCCUUUUAAGACUCCCACUGACCUCUUGACAUAUAAGAUUCUCUUUGUCAAGAACCAUUCCUUGACAAAAACGAAUAUUCAAGAGUUAGUGCAGAUUCUUAUCAAGUUAAACACUUCUCACAAUUGGUCUUAGUUGGUCUUUGUUUUAUCCAAAACAUCACAACUUACCAAUUUCAAAUGUACAAGAGUAAGAACACAUUUUACUCUACAUUUAACAAGUGUUUUAAACCUUUAUUAAGAUUAUGUCACUCAAGGCUUAACUUGGAGUAUGACUCUAAGAUUUAAUUUUGGAACAAAGUAUAAUUUAUCUUUUGAUCUAACCAUUUCAACAAUUCACGAUUCCUCUCCUUAGUCAAACAAAAUGAAGUAAGGUGUCCUCAGAGGAUCAAUUGUGACAUGGUUUCAUAAUCACAAUGAUAAUCAUAAAACAAGAUACUCAAGUACUUUCCCAUCUCUUCAAAUUAGAAAAACUUUUAUCUUUCUGCCUUAUUUGAUUCUUCUUACUCAUUAUGUCUAUCAUUGAAACUUCUCCAAUGAUCCAGAACUAUACUUAAACUUGUAAGUAUAACCAUAUUUACUAAACUUUAGUAAAUCAUAAUGAAUAAUCUUAUCAACUUUGUGGUGGACUUGAUCAGUGCACACCCAAGUGUAUCCGAUCCCUUUGUCCUUCACUUGAUUCACAUAUACAUGUGAACAAGGAAUUAGACUUAAUUUCCCAAAUAUAUAAAAAAUUCUCAUGAUCAUACAAUACAAGUUGCAUGAUUCCAAGUUUCUAUCCAUCUGAAACUUGGGUGAUGAGAAUCUUUCCUUAUUUGGUAAAUUAUGUCACUUCCACUAAUGAAAGAAUCAAAUCCAUUUACCCAUAUUGCUUAUCAAUGGAAACAUAUAAUCAACAAUUUUUCACAAAUGCCAUUGUAAGGAUACUUAAAAUAAAUAAAAUCAAAACCAUUUUUCUUUUAUUUUAAAACUUUGCGGAAAAAUUUAUCCUUACAAUCCAUAUGGAAAACUUGUUGUUAUCUAUUCCUAAGCAAUAUAUCAUAACUCUUAAGUAACAACUCAAAAUUCUGAUCACCGAACCAUGCGAUCGAAAUCCAUCUUCGCGAUCAGAAUCAGCAUAUACUUCCUUUAAGUUUCUUCACUUUUUCUUUGAUUCUUAAAACAUCAACAUGUGACCUCGUCACAUUAUGCAAUAAGAAUCUCAGAAUAGAAACUUAAUAGAGUUAGACAAUGGACUUUACCUGAAGUAGAGUCAAACCUAUUGACUUUACCAUCCUUAAGAUGUUUCAGGUAAAUUUAGCAGCUUCGCAACCAAUGUCUUUCCUUUGGCAACAGAAUCAUAUGGACUCUUUGGAAACGGUACAUGGGACUAUCACAGACUUAACCUUUCUCUUUACCAUUUGGUCAACCGAGUUGACUAUGGCCGAUCCCUUUCCAUUGGGAAGAGAAAGUUUUUCCUGGACCUCCAAUGUCACCAUUUUCAAUGUCCAAAUAGGUUUGGAAAGUAGAUCUUCCAAUCCAAUUUGCUUUACUAAUGCUCCAAAUCACUGCUGAUUUAGCAUCAUCAAGCAAAUAGGUAAGAUCAUUAAGGGUCUUGUCGCGACCUGUCAUCAGGGAGUGACUGAAGAACCAAGUCAGCAGCCAGCUACCUCGAGACUUCGACACCCGACUCUCCCGACUU
rnacentral:lncRNA from 1 species